GACAUAUUAACACUAAUAACAAACUGCAGAACUGGAGUCUCAGUGUGGGGAAAAAAUGGCUUUUAAUAGGGGACUCGAAUUUGGCCAAACUGCCACCAUUCAAAGUGCCGGACCUCCAGGUAGACAGCUACCCAGGGGCCACGUUCAGGCACGCUGAGGCCCUGAUGAGCAAAGCCACCUGCUCCACCACGGUGGAGAAGGUGGUACUGUCGUUUGGCAUUAAUAACAGGGCUCAAAAGGUCAAGCAAACCUCUACUAAACAGCUCCAAGCGGCAAUCAGAGCCACAAAGCUUCGCUUUCCACAGGCUGAAGUCUGGGUCCCUCUGGUGAACUACUCCCCAGCGCUUCCCCUGAAAGAAAGAAACAACCUGCUGACAUUAAAUAUGUAUUUGACAAAAAAUUGUCAGUACAUACCUGAGCUGCCCAGGGCAAAGUUCAAAACAGGAGAUGACAAUAUCCACUGGACUCCAGAAACGGCCCGCCAGAUGCUGCAACAUUGGUGUAACCACAUAAACUCAAAGUCCCCAUAAGCUUGCCGGUACAAGAGGGGAACAAAAAUGUUAUGAUUCUGGCCAAAAAAUUCAAACCCACGCACUCACAACUUACCUUGCUAAAUAGGGGACUCACCUUCAUCCCCACCAGGGGAAUCAACCGGAACAUCAAAGAACAGGCGAAAUGGGACAUCCAACAGUAUCACAGGAGACUGAAGUUGGCCGUCUAUUUCAGAGGCAGGGGAAAUCAGAAACCGCCACCUUUCACUCCCGAAUCUGACUGGACUCCACCCAAGGGCACACUGCCACCUGAAAUCACUGCCCUUACUGCAGCUGAUAAGGAUCAUUUCGAUCAGAGCUUCCAGAUGUGCCGGGUCAAACACAACCUCUGCGCAGAUGAAGCCCAGGCCUUAGAAGAGCUCAGAGACAAUAAACACAUAGUUAUCAAACCAGCCGAUAAGGGCAGUGUGAUUGUGAUCAUGGACAGGGAACAGUACUUGUGGGAGGGAUAUAGACAGCUUAACAACAGAACCUACUACACCAAGCUGGACAGGCCCAUCUAUCCGGACACCAUACCCCUGGUGGACAAAAUAAUUCACACCCUGCAAGAAAAGAAAUUUAUUACGGUUAAACAGAAAAAAUAUUUACUUACCGACACAGAACCUAGAGCGAGGUUAUUUUAUAUGCUCCCCAAAAUCCACAAGGAUCCGGCAAAAUGGAGCAAACCAUUCGAAAUUCCACCUGGCAGACCAAUAGUCUCAGACUGCAGCAGCGAAACCUACCGCACUGCAGAAUAUUUGGACCACUUCCUCAAUCCGCUCUCCACCAUGCACCCCAGCUACAUUAAGGACACUUACAGCUUCGUACAAACAGUGACGAGACUACAGGUUCCACAAGACGCCAUGUUGUUUACAAUGGACAUUGACAACCUGUACACAAACAUAGACAUCAAAGAAGGCAUACUAGCAGUCAAAAACUGUUUUCAAAGGAAUCCAAACAAAAAGAGGCCUGACAAAGAGCUUCUACAGUUACUAGAGAUCAACCUGACCAAAAAUGAUUUUGAGUUUAAUGGGGAACACUUCCUACAAAUAAAGGGCACAGCCAUGGGAAAGAAAUUCGCACCAGCAUAUGCCAACGUUUUUAUGGCAGAGUGGGAGACCGGAGCACUUGCUGGGUGCCACAAAAAGCCUCUCCACUAUUUCCGUUACCUGGACGACAUCUGGGGUGUGUGGACCCACUCACAGCAGGAUUUUGAAGAGUUUUUGCACACGCUUAACCAUCACAACAGCUCCAUCACACUAAAAUCAACCACCAACCACACAACAGUAGACUUUCUGGACACAACUACGUUCAAAGGAAAAGACUUCAACAAGACAAACCGACUCGACACUAAGGUUUUUUUUAAAGACACCGACACACAUGGUCUGCUCCACAGAACUAGCUUCCAUCCCAGACACACAUACGCGGGAUUAAUCAAAUCACAGCUGCUUAGAUUUAGAAGAAUAUGUAGUCACUGGGAGGACUUUAUGGUGGCAACGAGAACUCUGUUUACGGCGCUGAGGAAUAGAGGUUAUCCUCGAUCCUUCCUCAGAAGGUGCUUUAAGACCUUUGAGCAGAUGAAACCGCUCACAGACUCCAGAAUCCUCCCGUUUGUCACUACAUACUCUCCUUCCACAGUCAAACUGGUCAGACAGGUCAAGACAAAUUUCACACGCACAAUCUUACACACGGCCAUUCUCCCAGAGCACAGGAUUAUAGCAGCAUUCAGAAAAAACAGAAAUUUGCAUGAUUACUUGGUGAGAGCUAAAAUCAGGCCACUGCAGGCCACAACGGAAAAAGGAUAUGUUAGUUUUUUUAAACAAAAGGAGUGGGUCCACAGUACAGACAGGAACACAGUUUAUAAGGUGGAGGUGAGAGGCAAUCCUCGUAGUAGGAACUGUGUCUAUUUGGUCAUAUGCACGUCCUGUGGAGUACAGUAUGUUGGGGAGACAUGUAACACGCUGCUCACCAGAUUCACCCAACACAGACACAACAUACUGAAACAAAAAAAGACCCACACCCACUUCGUCCAACAUUUUCUACGCCACGGAUGGGAUGCUGUAAAGGCCACAGUUUUACAGGCCAAUCCCAGGUGGUCACAGAGUCAGAGGCGUAAGGCGGAGAGGGUGUGGAUCCACAAAUUGGACACACAAUUUCCUCGGGGCCUGAAUGAGAAAUAGCAGGGCCUUCACUGGGCAUGGGGAUGGCCUGUGCAUGGACUUCUGUCGCCGGCUCUUGGCGAUGGAAUUCCUUUCCCUCUCCCUACCCCAACAACCUCAGUUCAUAAUCUUACCUAAAGAGUUGACCAAACCUAGUCACCAUUACAACCCAACCCAUAGCUCUUUCUAAACUCAACCAAUACAGGAACUAGUCUGAAACAUCUAAGAUCAUGUGUACAUUUAAUUCUUAUCUGUGCCUUUCCAUAUGUACCUCUAUUACUCUUGCAAAGUGACUCAAGUAUCAGGGAACAUGAGUGACAUGCGUCGGCCCGGGCAUUGCCGCUGGCUCUCCACACCAAACUGCCUAGUCCACGGACGAAAGCGGGGAGAGUCAU
rnacentral:lncRNA from 1 species